rfam:Acyrthosiphon pisum strain LSR1 Contig39143, whole genome shotgun sequence.
CCGUGUUCUGUGCCUGACUCGGCUGGCGCCGGUCUGUCACAGAACACGGGA